UCUGUAACAAGCGCUCAUCAGCUGCUUGCUUCUGUGGCUCCCUCUCUGUGGAAUGUACUUUUGUUUCAAUAAAUCUGUGCUUUCGCUGCUUCAUUCUUUCAUUUCUUUGUGCGUUUUGUCCAAUUAUUUGUUCAAAAUGUCAAGAGCCUGGAAGACUUGUAGUCAAGACCCUCCAUCAGUAACAAUAGAUUUUCUUAUGCAUCUUCCUGUUACUUAACUUGUUAUCCCUGGUUUAGAACUCUCCUUAUAAUUCUCCAUACUAUUAUAACCUCAAAAGGUGUACUGAUAAAUGAAUUGAAAGAAUAUCCUGG
rnacentral:lncRNA from 1 species